GAUGAACGCUGGCGGCGCGCCUAACACAUGCAAGUCGAACGAUUAAAGCAACUUCGGGUGUGUAUAAUGUAGCCAACGGCUGAGUAACCCGUGGGCAACCUGCCCCUAUCAUUGGGAUAGCCACGGGCAACCGUGGAUACUACCGCUUACUUCGGGACUUCCGCAUGGUAGACUCGAGAACGCCCCGGCGGAGCGGGAUGGGCCCGCGGCCUGUUAGCUUGUUGGUGGGGUAAUGGCCUACCAAGGCAAUGAUGGGUAGCUGGGUUGAGAGACCGACCAGCCAGAGGGGGACUGAGGCACGGCCCAGUACCCAACGGGGGGCAGAAGUGGGGAAUCGUGGAAGAGGAGCGGACGCCGCAUGCAGCGGCCCCGCGUGGGCAAGGAAGGCCUGCGGUGGGUAUUCUGCCUUCAGCAGGUACGAGCCGAAAGCGACGGUACCUGCAGAAGAAGCAUCGGCUAACUACGUG
rnacentral:rRNA from 1 species